UCGUGGCUCAGAUUGAACGCUGGCGGCAGGCCUAACACAUGCAAGUCGAACGGUAACAGGAAACAGCUUGCUGUUUCGCUGACGAGUGGCGGACGGGUGAGUAAUGUCUGGGAAACUGCCUGAUGGAGGGGGAUAACUACUGGAAACGGUAGCUAAUACCGCAUAACGUCGCAAGACCAAAGAGGGGGGGACCUUCGGGCCUCUUGCCAUCAGAUGUGCCCAGAUGGGAUUAGCUAGUAGGUGGGGUAACGGCUCACCUAGGCGACGAUCCCUAGCUGGUCUGAGAGGAUGACCAGCCACACUGGAACUGAGACACGGUCCAGACUCCUACGGGAGGCAGCAGUGGGGAAUAUUGCACAAUGGGCGCAAGCCUGAUGCAGCCAUGCCGCGUGUAUGAAGAAGGCCUUCGGGUUGUAAAGUACUUUCAGCGGGGAGGAAGGGAGUAAAGUUAAUACCUUUGCUCAUUGACGUUACCCGCAGAAGAAGCACCGGCUGACUCCGUGCCAGCAGCCGCGGUAAUACGGAGGGUGCAAGCGUUAAUCGGAAUUACUGGGCGUAAAGCGCACGCAGGCGGUUUGUUAAGUCAGAUGUGAAAUCCCCGGGCUCAACCUGGGAACUGCAUCUGAUACUGGCAAGCUUGAGUCUCGUAGAGGGGGGUAGAAUUCCAGGUGUAGCGGUGAAAUGCGUAGAGAUCUGGAGGAAUACCGGUGGCGAAGGCGGCCCCCUGGACGAAGACUGACGCUCAGGUGCGAAAGCGUGGGGAGCAAACAGGAUUAGAUACCCUGGUAGUCCACGCCGUAAACGAUGUCGACUUGGAGGUUGUGCCCUUGAGGCGUGGCUUCCGGAGCUAACGCGUUAAGUCGACCGCCUGGGGAGUACGGCCGCAAGGUUAAAACUCAAAUGAAUUGACGGGGGCCCGCACAAGCGGUGGAGCAUGUGGUUUAAUUCGAUGCAACGCGAAGAACCUUACCUGGUCUUGACAUCCACGGAAGUUUUCAGAGAUGAGAAUGUGCCUUCGGGAACCGUGAGACAGGUGCUGCAUGGCUGUCGUCAGCUCGUGUUGUGAAAUGUUGGGUUAAGUCCCGCAACGAGCGCAACCCUUAUCCUUUGUUGCCAGCGGUCCGGCCGGGGACUCAAAGGAGACUGCCAGUGAUAAACUGGAGGAAGGUGGGGAUGACGUCAAGUCAUCAUGGCCCUUACGACCAGGGCUACACACGUGCUACAAUGGCGCAUACAAAGAGAAGCGACCUCGCGAGAGCAAGCGGACCUCAUAAAGUGCGUCGUAGUCCGGAUUGGAGUCUGCAACUCGACUCCAUGAAGUCGGAAUCGCUAGUAAUCGUGGAUCAGAAUGCCACGGUGAAUACGUUCCCGGGCCUUGUACACACCGCCCGUCACACCAUGGGAGUGGGUUGCAAAAGAAGUAGGUAGCUUAACCUUCGGGAGGGCGCUUACCACUUUGUGAUUCAUGACUGGGGUGAAGUCGUAACAAGGUAACCGUAGGGGAACCUGCGGUUG
rnacentral:rRNA from 1 species